rnacentral:lncRNA from 1 species
UGUACCGCAAAAUAUAAAGUUAGUAAUGCUUCUCAUUCAUCAAAUGAAGAUUUAUUGAAUCUCUUUUGUGCCAGGCAUUUUGCUGAGCAAUAUGGGGAACAGAACUAGACGUUUUCUGUCUUAGACAAGUCAACUCAAAACACCAAAACGAUGCUUAGAGCUAUGGUAGAGCUACGCAGAUGGCAAUAUGAGAAAAGAAAGAUCAUUUAACUCAGCCAAGGCAGUGACUUUACAGAAAAAAAGUGUCUCUUGUUCACGCUAUUCGUCCAAUGAAGAUCGGCAGGACUGUGCUUCAGACCAACACUCACAGAACCAGGCUGAUGAAGGUGUCAUCAUCCUGUAACCCGCUAACUGGAACCUGAGACCUUCUCAGUCACUCUAGCAAGGGAAAGACCGUGGAGGCCUCUGCGCCAGCUCUUGAAUACUUUGGCCCAAAAGUAACACAUCACUUCUACCUCUACCCUGUUGGUGGAACUGGUCACGUGGCCCUAACCAAUCACAAAGAGGCUGAAAAUACAGCCUUAUGUGUGCCCAGAAGGGCAAGAAAACCAGGUAUUGGUUAAGACUAGUAAUGCCUGACUCACAAAGGAAACUGUAUAAUUAAAACUCUGAUAUUUCUACCAUUUUAUAUGCAGCAUACAGCUUUCCAUUCUAUCCAACUAUCAUUUCUUCAGGUUUAUCACACAAAUUUUGUACUCCACUCACGUUAAGAUUACAUGCAGUUCCCUGAACAUGCCCAGUUAUUUCACACUUGGAUUCAACAUGCAGCUUCAACAUGCAUCUUCAUGCCUUUGCAUCUCCUGUUUCCUCUGUCUGCUAUGUCCUUUUCUCUCAAGCUACAAAAUUACUUCCUUGAAACCUUCCCUAAUGCUCUCAAGGGCAGGACUGGGCAUUCCUCUUGCUCUGUGUAAUCACUAGAAAUCUUGUGGCAGAAUUCUUAACCUCUUACGUCCUUUCUCUUAAAACUCACCAGGCUCGCUGCUGGAAACACUUGUUUUCCAGAAGGUGGUGCUAAA